rnacentral:rRNA from 1 species
AUACGGAGGAUCCGAGCGUUAUCCGGAUUUAUUGGGUUUAAAGGGUGCGCAGGCGGCCAUUUAAGUCAGCGGUUAAAUCGUGGGGCUCAACCUCAUUCUGCCGUUGAUACUGGGUGGCUUGAUUGCGGUCGAGGUUGACGGAAUUCGUUGUGUAGCGGUGAAAUGCAUAGAUAUGACGAAGAACACCGAUUGCGUAGGCAGCUGACCAGACCGCAAAUGACGCUCAUGCACGAAAGUGCGGGGAUCGAACAGGAUUAGAUACCCUGGUAGUCCGCACAGUAAACGAUGAAUACUUGUUUUCGGCGAUAUAAUGUCGGAGGCAAAGCGAAAGCGAUAAGUAUUCCACCUGGGGAGUACGCCGGCAACGGUGAAACUCAAAUGAAUUGACGGGG